rnacentral:rRNA from 1 species
AUUGAACGCUGGCGGAAUGCUUUACACAUGCAAGUCGAACGGCAGCACGGGGGCAGCCCUGGUGGCGAGUGGCGAACGGGUGAGUAAUACAUCGGAACGUGCCCGGUCGUGGGGGAUAACGUAGCGAAAGUUACGCUAAUACCGCAUACGAUCUGAGGAUGAAAGCGGGGGACCUUCGGGCCUCGCGCGAUCGGAGCGGCCGAUGUCAGAUUAGGUAGUUGGUGGGGUAAAGGCCUACCAAGUCGACGAUCUGUAGCUGGUCUGAGAGGACGACCAGCCACACUGGGACUGAGACACGGCCCAGACUCCUACGGGAGGCAGCAGUGGGGAAUUUUGGACAAUGGGCGCAAGCCUGAUCCAGCCAUUCCGCGUGCAGGACGAAGGCCUUCGGGUUGUAAACUGCUUUUGUACGGAACGAAAAGGCUCUGGCUAAUACCUGGGGCUCAUGACGGUACCGUAAGAAUAAGCACCGGCUAACUACGUG